rnacentral:lncRNA from 1 species
CCCAUCCUGUUGACAGCACGCCUGUCCCUCUGCUGCCCAGUGCAGCUCCAGGCGUGCCCCAGGCCUGAGUGGGCCACUUGCUCCACAGGCCACACGUGCUCUUGGGGAGAUGCUGGCUGUUUCGGGCUGCGUGGGAGCCACGAGGGGCUUCUACCCACAUCUGCUGCUUGCGCUGGUCACACAGCUGCACAAGCUAGCCCGCAGCCCGUGCUCCCCUGACAUGCCCAAGAUUUGGGUUCUCUCCCACCGAGGGCCACCACACAGCCAUGCCAGCUGCGCCGUGGAGGCCCUGAAGGCCCUGCUCACCGGGGAUGGAGGCCGCAUGGUGGUCACGUGCAUGGAGCAGGCGGGAGGCUGGAGGAGGCUGGUGGGAGCCCACACCCACCUGGAGGGCGUCCUGCUGCUGGCCAGUGCUAUGGUGGCACAUGCCGACCACCACCUGCGAGGCCUCUUCGCAGACUUGCUCCCUCGGCUUCGCAGCGCGGACGACCCGCAGCGUCUCACGGCUAUGGCCUUCUUCACAGGGGUGAGCCUGCUUCCCGGAUGGGUGGUGAAGGGUGACCCUGGACUUGAUCCCUGAAUCGCAGCGGCCUGCACGGGGACCGCGGGCGUGCUGACCCCAUGUGCCUCGCCUAGCUGUUGCAG